rnacentral:rRNA from 1 species
UACGAAGGGUGCAAGCGUUACUCGGAAUUACUGGGCGUAAAGCGUGCGUAGGUGGUUCGUUAAGUCUGAUGUGAAAGCCCUGGGCUCAACCUGGGAAUGGCAUUGGAUACUGGCGGACUGGAGUGCGGUAGAGGAUGGCGGAAUUCCCGGUGUAGCAGUGAAAUGCGUAGAGAUCGGGAGGGACAUCUGUGGCGAAGGCGGCCAUCUGGACCAGCACUGACACUGAGGCACGAAAGCGUGGGGAGCAAACAGG